rnacentral:piRNA from 1 species
UAAUAUCCUGGGAGAACUUCGAUGCC